CGAACGCUGGCGGCGUGCCUAAUACAUGCAAGUAGAACGCUGAAGGAGGAGCUUGCUUCUCUGGAUGAGUUGCGAACGGGUGAGUAACGCGUAGGUAACCUGCCUGGUAGCGGGGGAUAACUAUUGGAAACGAUAGCUAAUACCGCAUAAUAGCAGUUGUUGCAUGACAACUGUUUGAAAGGUGCAAUUGCACCACUACCAGAUGGACCUGCGUUGUAUUAGCUAGUUGGUGGGGUAACGGCUCACCAAGGCGACGAUACAUAGCCGACCUGAGAGGGUGAUCGGCCACACUGGGACUGAGACACGGCCCAGACUCCUACGGGAGGCAGCAGUAGGGAAUCUUCGGCAAUGGACGGAAGUCUGACCGAGCAACGCCGCGGGAGUGAAGAAGGUUUUCGGAUCGUAAAGCUCUGUUGUAAGAGAAGAACGAGUGUGAGAGUGGAAAGUUCACACUGUGACGGUAUCUUACCAGAAAGGGACGGCUAACUACGUG
rnacentral:rRNA from 1 species